AACGUUACCAAACUGUUGCCUCGGCGGGGUCACGCCCCGGGUGCGUCGCAGCCCCGGAACCAGGCGCCCGCCGGAGGAACCAACCAAACUCUUUCUGUAGUCCCCUCGCGGACGUAUUUCUUACAGCUCUGAGCAAAAAUUCAAAAUGAAUCAAAACUUUCAACAACGGAUCUCUUGGUUCUGGCAUCGAUGAAGAACGCAGCGAAAUGCGAUAAGUAAUGUGAAUUGCAGAAUUCAGUGAAUCAUCGAAUCUUUGAACGCACAUUGCGCCCGCCAGUAUUCUGGCGGGCAUGCCUGUCCGAGCGUCAUUUCAACCCUCGAACCCCUCCGGGGGAUCGGCGUUGGGGAUCGGGACCCCUCACACGGGUGCCGGCCCCGAAAUACAGUGGCGGUCUCGCCGCAGCCUCUCCUGCGCAGUAGUUUGCACAACUCGCACCGGGAGCGCGGCGCGUCCACGUCCGUAAAACACCCAACUUUCUGAAAUGUUGACCUCGGAUCAGGUAGGAAUACCCGCUGAACUUAAGCAUAUCAAUAA
rnacentral:rRNA from 1 species